rnacentral:tRNA from 5 species
GGCACGGUGGCGAAGAGGAAACGCAGCUGUCUGCAAAACAGCUAUGCACCGGUUCGAUUCCGGUCCGUGCCUCAA